rnacentral:rRNA from 1 species
GAUGAACGCUGGCGGCGUGCUUAACACAUGCAAGUCGAACGGAAAGGCCCAAGCUUGCUUGGGUACUCGAGUGGCGAACGGGUGAGUAACACGUGGGUGAUCUGCCCUGCACUUCGGGAUAAGCCUGGGAAACUGGGUCUAAUACCGGAUAGGACCACUUCUUGGAUGUUGUGGUGGAAAGUUUUUCGGUGUGGGAUGAGCACGCGGCCUAUCAGCUUGUUGGUGGGGUAAUGGCCUACCAAGGCGUCGACGGGUAGCCGGCCUGAGAGGGUGUACGGCCACAUUGGGACUGAGAUACGGCCCAGACUCCUACGGGAGGCAGCAGUGGGGAAUAUUGCACAAUGGGCGCAAGCCUGAUGCAGCGACGCCGCGUGGGGGAUGACGGCCUUCGGGUUGUAAACUCCUUUCGCUAGGGACGAAGCUUAUUUUGUGACGGUACCUGGAGAAGAAGCACCGGCUAACUACGUG